rnacentral:rRNA from 1 species
CCUACGGGGUGCAGCAGUGAGGAAUAUUGGUCAAUGGGCGCUAGCCUGAACCAGCCAAGUAGCGUGAAGGAUGACUGCCCUAUGGGUUGUAAACUUCUUUUAUAUGGGAAUAAAGUGCAGUAUGUAUACUGCUUUGCAUGUACCUUAUGAAUAAGGAUCGGCUAACUCCGUGCCAGCAGCCGCGGUAAUACGGAGGAUCCGAGCGUUAUCCGGAUUUAUUGGGUUUAAAGGGAGCGUAGGCGGGUUGUUAAAUCAGUUGUGAAAGUUUGCGGCUCAACCGUAAAAUUGCAGUGGAUACUGGCAGCCUUGAGUACAGUAGAGGUAGGCGGAAUUCGUGGUGUAGCGGUGAAAUGCUUAGAUAUCACGAAGAACUCCGAUUGCGAAGGCAGCCUGCUGGACUGUAACUGACGCUGAUGCUCGAAAGUGUGGGUAUCAAACAGGAUUAGAUACCCCAGUAGUC